AUACGUAGGGUGCAGGCGUUAAUCGGAAUUACUGGGCGUAAAGCGUGCGCAGGCGGUUUUGUAAGACAGUGGUGAAAUCCCCGGGCUCAACCUGGGAACUGCCAUUGUGACUGCAAGGCUGGAGUGCGGCAGAGGGGGAUGGAAUUCCGCGUGUAGCAGUGAAAUGCGUAGAUAUGCGGAGGAACACCGAUGGCGAAGGCAAUCCCCUGGGCCUGCACUGACGCUCAUGCACGAAAGCGUGGGGAGCAAACAGGAUUAGAUACCCUGGUAGUCCACGCCCUAAACGAUGUCAACUGGUUGUUGGGGAUUUAUUUUCUCAGUAACGAAGCUAACGCGUGAAGUUGACCGCCUGGGGAGUACGGCCGCAAGGUUAAAACUUAAAGGAAUUGACGGGG
rnacentral:rRNA from 1 species